GCUCUGGAGGUGCAGGUGAGGGAGCUCCGGGAGGAGGUUAGCAGGCUGAGGGGGAUCAGGGAGGCGGAGGAUGAAAUUGAUGGUUAUUUCCUUUCCCUGCAGGCCCAGGCAUCCAAGGAAGAAGCACCCCAGGGAGUGCCCUCCACAGCAGAGUGGCAGACGGUCACAGCCAGGACCGGAGCAGCUCGCAGCAAACCGGUACCAGCUUCUCCAGUCCGACUGGAGAACAGGUCAAGAGAUCCAAGCGAACCCAGAGGAGGAGGCAACAAGUGCCCGUCAUAGGCGACUCCAUCCUGAGAGGCAUGGAAGGGCCCAUCUGUCGCCAGGACCCCUCAACACGAGAGGUCUACUGCCUGCCCGGAGCAAAGAUUCGGGAUGUGACGGAGUGACCGGACGAGGAAGACGGCAGGAGAACUGCAUCAGAGAGACCAACUGGUGGCUUUGGCAAUGGUGUCUCGAGGCAGGCUUCGGUUUCCUAGACAACGACCCACACAUCACGACGAGGGACAUGCUCAGCUGGGAUGGGCUUCACCUGUCCCCCAAAGGUAAGCGUGUGUUUUCUUCUAGGUUGGCAGAUCUCCUCCGGCAGGCUUUAAACUAGGCUCGUCGGGGGGAGGGGAAGAUGAGGGCAGGGGAAGCUGUGGACCACCAAACCAUGUGGCACCCACAAGGACAGCCCAGCCUGAAGAAGGAGAACAUUGGGAACCUGAAAGCCAUGGGGCGGCCAGCACUAUGACACAGGUAAGAAACGAGAAGGUAAGAAACAAUGGGCCCCUUGGGACUUGAAGUGGGGGGGCAGCAAAGGCACCAGUGGCAGGGCUCAAGUGCCUAUAUACUAAUGCUAGGAACAUGGGGAACAAGCAGGAUGAACUAGCGCUCCUGCUUGCACAAAACACCUAUGACUUAGUGGGGCUAACAGAGACCUGGUGGGAUUCAUCCCACGACUGGGCGGUACAUAUUGA